GAUGAACGCUGGCGGCGUGCUUAACACAUGCGAGUCGAACGGAAAGGCCCAAGCUUGCUUGGGUACUCGAGUGGCGAACGGGUGAGUAACACGUGGGUGAUCUGCCCUGCACUUCGGGAUAAGCCUGGGAAACUGGGUCUAAUACCGGAUAGGACGAUGGUUUGGAUGCCAUUGUGGAAAGUUUUUUCGGUGUGGGAUGAGCUCGCGGCCUAUCAGCUUGUUGGUGGGGUAAUGGCCUACCAAGGCGUCGACGGGUAGCCGGCCUGAGAGGGUGUACGGCCACAUUGGGACGGAGAUACGGCCCAGACUCCUACGGGAGGCAGCAGUGGGGAAUAUUGCACAAUGGGCGCAAGCCUGAGGCAGCGACGCCGCGUGGGGGAUGACGGCCUUCGGGUUGUAAACUCCUUUCGCUAGGGACGAAGCGUUUUUGUGACGGUACCUGGAGAAGAAGCACCGGCUAACUACGUG
rnacentral:rRNA from 1 species